GACGUAGGGCGCGAGCGUUGUCCGGAUUAUUGGGCGUAAAGAGCUCGUAGGCGCUUGUCGCGUCGACUGUGAAAUCCCGCGGCUCAACUGCGGGUCUGCAGUCGAUACGGGCAGGCUAGAGUCCGGGAGGGGAGAUCGGAAUCCCUGGUGUAGCGGUGAAAUGCGCAGAUAUCAGGAGGAACACCGGUGGCGAAGGCGGAUCUCUGGGCCUUACCUGACGCUGGAGGCGCGAACGACUGGGGAGCAAACAGGAUUAGAACCCGUAC
rnacentral:rRNA from 1 species